rnacentral:rRNA from 1 species
UACGAAGGGGGCUAGCGUUGCUCGGAAUCACUGGGCGUAAAGGGUGCGUAGGCGGGUCUUUAAGUCAGGGGUGAAAUCCUGGAGCUCAACUCCAGAACUGCCUUUGAUACUGAAGAUCUUGAGUUCGGGAGAGGUGAGUGGAACUGCGAGUGUAGAGGUGAAAUUCGUAGAUAUUCGCAAGAACACCAGUGGCGAAGGCGGGUCUCUGGGCCGAUACUGACGCUGAGGAGCGAAAGCAUGGGUAGCGAACAGG